CAUCAGACAUAUCGUGAUGUCGUCUCCGGCUCCCCUCGCCUGGCUGCUGCUAGUCCUCUGGAUCCAGGCCUCCAAGGGGUCCAUUUCCCUGAUUCAGACUCCACAAGCCCUGUCGGUGUCUCCAGGAGCCAGAGUCUCUAUCCACUGCCAGACCAGUUCGAGCCUUCAUUUCUCAGAGCUGGGGAUGACGCACUAUGAGCUCUUAGCCUGGUACCACCACAAACCUGGGCAGCCUCCCAGGCUCCUCAUCUAUGACGCUGAGACCCGGGAAACAGGAAUCGCAGACAGGUUCAGUGGCCAAGAGACUGAGCACGGCUUCUCCCUCAUCAUCAGUGAGGUGGAAGCAGAUGAUGAGGGAGUUUAUUACUGCCAGCAGUACAAAGACACCCCCACACAGUGA